GCCUGUUUCAUCAGCAGGGCCACGUACUGAGUGCUUGUCACUCCCUGGCUCCUGGGAAGGUCUGAGACUGGGGCCUCCUGCAGCCCUAACCAGGCCUUUCCCAAGUGGGGAGGUGAGUUCCCAGAGAGCAGGGCUCCAUGUGUGGUCUAUAGACCAUCCCUCUCGUGCAUGGUGGCUGGUAGGACCAGUUCUUCCUUUAUGACAGCUGGUGAAUAGGGGCAGACCGUUCUCCCAGGGCCAUCAAAAGUUGGACCAAUUCUCUCAUGC
ensembl:ribozyme RNaseP_nuc Nuclear RNase P